GGAGCGGUCGUGGCUGAAUGGUUACUGUGUUCGCUAUAUAAGCGAAUGGUCCUGAGUUCGAUACCCAUCUGCUCCC
rnacentral:tRNA from 1 species